rnacentral:rRNA from 1 species
CACGUAGGGCGCGAGCGUUGUCCGGAAUUAUUGGGCGUAAAGAGCUCGUAGGCGGCCUGUGCGUCCGCUGUGAAAGCCCGGGGCUUAACCCCGGGUCGGCAGUGGAUACGGGCAGGCUAGAGGUAGGUAGGGGAGAAUGGAAUUCCCGGUGUAGCGGUGAAAUGCGCAGAUAUCGGGAGGAACACCGGUGGCGAAGGCGGCUCACUGGCCCGGUACUGACGCUGAGGUGCGAAAGCGUGGGGAGCAA